AGACCACAAGUUACAGACAGAGAGGGUGAGGAGACAUUGUGAGGAGACAGGGUAGAGCACAAAUAAGCGCCAGUGAGAGAGAGAGAAACAAGUGAAAGUGACCAUGUCCACCACUAUGGCUGUCUCGGCGACCCCUCCUGUCCUCUCACCCGGCCCAGGAGCACCUUCCUCCUUGGGAAUAUUCCGCUCCGACCCUAUCUACACCGCCACAACCACCAGCCCUCAUCCAGACUCCCCCUCCCCACGGCUCUCCACCACCGGACUCCUCAACCCCUUCCUACCCGGCUCAGGAGUCCCAUCCGGUGGCUUGGGAUUCACCAACACAGCGGUUUUUGGAGAUCGAGGAAUUUCCACCACUACAACCACAACAACCAGUGAGUGUAGAAUGGUGGAUGUACACGGAGUAAAAGUCGCCUCUUUCAGCGUCGGAGGACAGGACGACUUGAUUUGUCUACCCCAAGUUUUUGACCUCUUUCUAAAACAUCUCGUCGGCGGGCUUCAUACCGUUUACACCAAGCUGAAACGCCUGGAUAUUUGUCCGGUUGUGUGUACUGUGUCGCAGGUCCGGGUCCUGAGGGGGCUCGGUGCGAUCCAACCGGGAGUGAACCGCUGUAAGCUCAUCUCCCGGCGAGACUUCGAGGCGCUCUACGCUGAUUGCACCAUUGCGAGCUCUCGUCCGGGCCGACCUCCAAAGCACUCUGUUGGGGGAGGGAUUCAGGAAAGCUCCAGGCUUCUCCAUCCUGGGGUUCACGGCCUGCUGUCACCUGGCAUGCUCUCUCACAAAGGUGGGAGUGAGUGUUCCUGGGAUAAGGAGAGGCUGGUGUCGCCCCUGUCUGGAGGUGGUGGGGUGGGCAGAAUAGGGAUGGGGGGACAACAGAGUCUUCACAACCAGGUGAACUCACUACAGAAACAACUACUGGCCAACCGUCUCCAGGACCUCCCCUUCGUGAUGAUGACCCACCCCUUACUUCCUGUCCGGGUGCCCCCGGCGUCGGUUGCCAUGGCGAUGUCGCAGAUGAAUCACCUCAACACCAUCGCUAACAUGGCGGCCGCCGCGCAGAUGCACACUUACACACACCAGGCCCCCAUCGUCAAGGAGCGUGUGUGUGACAGUCCGUCCCCAUCUCCGUCUGUCGACGACAUACACACGCGUCUCUUGUCCCAGCACUCCUCACAGCCCAGCUCUACAGCAUCCAGCUCACCAGACCGUCUAACUCUCGAUAGAGAUGUUACUGAAAGACAAAUAUUAGUACACAUGAAUAAAAUAGAAAGAGUGAAAGAAGACUCUUCAUUGGCUCUGCCCAUGUCGAAGCCUUCAUUUGAUAGGCUGUCACCGGGCCAGGCCCUGCCACCUGGCUUCCGUGCUCCCUUCCUGUUUGCUGAUGGCGUUUCCUCUGUUGAGACUCUACUCACCAACAUACAGGGCCUUCUGAAGGUGGCUGCAGAGAAUGCCCGUGUCCAGGACACUCAGAUCCAGGCUGAGAAGAGAGAACUGAAGAUGGAGCUGUACAGAGAGAGAGACAUGAGAGAGAGUCUGGAGAGACAACUCACCUCUGAGUUACAGAGUAAAGCCUCCAUUCAGAAGCGCUUAAAGAAAGAGAAGAAAGCCAAGAGGAAGCUUCAGGAAGCGUUGGAGUUUGAGUCCAAACGGAGGGAGACGUUGGAGCAUUCUCUCAAACACUUCUCCUCCUUCUCCUUCUCCUCCCCCUCUCCUCCCGACACGCUACACGCCAGCAGCAGCGGUGAGCCUCCUCCUCCUCCUCCUUCUCCUCCCCCUCUCCUCCCGACACGCUACACGCCAGCAGCAGCGGUGAGCCUCCUCCUCCUCCUCCUUCUCCUCCCCCUCUCCUCCCGACACGCUACACGCCAGCAGCAGCGGUGAGCCUCCUCCUCCUUCCUCCUUCUCCUCCCCCUCUCCUCCCGACACGCUACACGCCAGCAGCAGCGGUGAGCCUCCUCCUCCUUCCUCCUUCUCCUCCCCCUCUCCUCCCGACACGCUACACGCCAGCAGCAGCGGUGAGCCUCCUCCUCCUUCUCCUUCUCCUCCCCCUCUCCUCCCGACACGCUACACGCCAGCAGCAGCGAUAUAGUUGCACCUGAAGAUUAACCAGAACCGAAUGCAAACCAGGACAAGACACUCCGAUUGGUCAAGUCCUGAUGGCCUCACCCCCGGGAACUCGUCACGGAAACACCAGCCCGUUGCCACGACGACCCAGACCCGUGGACCUCCGGAAACCCCUUCUCAUCCCCGAUGGCUGACUAUCUUACGGCCUCAGAAAUAAACCAUAUCAGCGUUGUGCUGUUCGUUCCUUCGUCCCUCUGUACUCGGACUGAUAGGAAAAGGAGGAAUGUGUGGGAAUGUUUUUACUCUGUCUGUCCUAUUUCUAUCUCUCUCUUUCUUUCUCUCUCGCUCUUCCCCUGAACUCUAACCCCUUGACCUCGGCCUAUUAGAGUGAGGACUGUGAAGAAAAGCCCUGUACAUAACUAGCAGUGGUCUCUGUCCCAAAUGGAAGCCUUUCCGUCUCUACUUUUGACCGGGUCGCCAAAAUGUUGUGGUGAAAGAAUAGGUGGUAUAAACUCUGAUCGCCGGUCACGGUGAAAGGAAUAUCGGUCCUUAUACUUGUAAUGGAUUGGGUAAAUAGUGUUCAUGGCUAGUAGUACGCUAUAGGGAUUAGGAUGCCAUUUGAGACGCUGUCUGUUUUUACACUUUGACUGUAUGGACUUUGAGACCUGACUACAAAUACAAUACUAUAAUACUA